rnacentral:rRNA from 1 species
GACGAACGCUGGCGGCGUGCUUAACACAUGCAAGUCGAACGGUGAACCGCUUCGGUGGGGAUCAGUGGCGAACGGGUGAGUAACACGUGGGCAACCUGCCCCCAGCUCUGGGAUAACUCCAAGAAAUUGGUGCUAAUACCGGAUGUGACCGCUGACCGCAUGGUCUGGUGGUGGAAAGAUUCAUCGGCUGGGGAUGGGCCCGCGGCCUAUCAGCUUGUUGGUGGGGUGAUGGCCUACCAAGGCGACGACGGGUAGCCGGCCUGAGAGGGUGACCGGCCACACUGGGACUGAGACACGGCCCAGACUCCUACGGGAGGCAGCAGUGGGGAAUAUUGCGCAAUGGGCGAAAGCCUGACGCAGCGACGCCGCGUGAGGGAUGACGGCCUUCGGGUUGUAAACCUCUUUCAGUAGGGACGAAGCGCAAGUGACGGUACCUACAGAAGAAGCACCGGCCAACUACGUGCCAGCAGCCGCCGUAAGAC